CCCCUAGACGUUCUGGGCUGCACGCGCGCUACAAUAAUACGCACAGCGAGUAUCACCGAGCUCGAAAGGGCAAGGUAAACAAUAGAAAAGGUACUGUAAUGGUUAUAGAUCCUUGUAAUUAUUGAUCUUCAACGAGGAAUUCCUAGUAAGUACGUGUCAUCAUCACGCACUGAUUACGUCCCUGCCCUUUGUACACACCGCCCGUCGCUCCUACCGAUUGAGUGAGCCGAUGAAACUGCCGGAUGUGGACUAUUCAUAGUCUGCAGAAGAUAUUUGAAUCGUAGCGCUUAGAGGAAGGAGAAGUCGUAACA
rnacentral:rRNA from 1 species